GGCACCGUAGCAUAGGGUGUUGCACUGUGGUUUACUUGAGGCACAACAGAUUGUUUUGCGGAUGUCCCGGGAUCAACUCCCGGCGGCGCCG